UAUGGAAAGCCAUAGGGGACCCCCAGGUCAUGUUCUAUAUAUUUCAUUGUAAAUCAAUCCUGGCCGGCCAGGAUAUGUUAUCCUGGCCAAGUCAGGAUUGCAAACAUGACCAGCCAUGAUUUUCAAUCCUGGCACAUCCUAUCCUGGCCGGUCAGGUUAUGAUUUCAAUCCUGGCCAAUAACAUGGUCAUCCAAUCCUCACCUGGCCACCCAAACCUGGUCGGUCAUGAUUUCAAACAUAACCAAGCCAGGAUUGAUAACCUGGCCAUCCAAUCCUGGUCAUGAUUUUCAAUCCUGGCCAAGUCAGGAUGACCUGACCAUUCAAUCCUGGUCGGUCAUGAUUUCAAACAUGGCCAAGUCAGGAUUGAUAACCUGGUCGGUCAUGAUUUUCAAUCCUGGCAAAGUCAGGAAUGCAUUGCGCCAGGAUAUAUGACUUCCAAACGCAGUCAAGAUUUCUCAAGCGUCGCCAAGAUUGCCCUGGCCAAGAUGCAUGUUCGAAUGAUUCAAACAAAAAAAACGCUGUCAAGAUUUCCCAAGCGUCGCCAAGAUUUAUUGCCCAAGAUUUUCGGUGAUGAAGAUUUAUUAGGCCAAGAUUUUCAAGGACUUAGAUUACAUCAUUCUAUCUGCACAUGCUGCAUGCCGCUGCACUGAAGACUCAGAAGUUAUUGUGAUAACAAGUGCUGCCGUUUGAGCGAGCGCAGCUUCUUGUAUGUACAUAUUUUGUAAUGUUCAUGCUUUGAUCAGGUUCAAUUUAAACAAUAUCUAUUUGCCAAAUACUCAUGACAUGAAUUUUCUCUCAGCUAGGGUUUUAUAUAAAAAAAUCAUUAAAACAUGUAUGUACAUGAAUGUGACUGAAAUAUUUUUAUGCUAUAUAUACAUUUUGUUUCUACUGCCUUCACUAUGAUUUGCUUAACCUUUGAUGCACGACACUGCUCUGGACUGUAUGCUCUCAGCAGUCGACUGCCUCUACGUAUUUCUUUUUUUUUUUUAUUAUUCUCAAUCUUUUCAAGUUACGAAUUGUAUAAUAAAAAUGCCCAAACCUUUCAAGUUUGUAAAAUUGGGUUUAAACAGCACUGCCUUUGAACAUAAAAUGCAUUUCAAUAUAAUGAUAAUUUAACCCCACCACCACCAUGCGCACCUAUCUAAUUUAAAAAAAAAAUUAAAUUCAUAUGAUAAUCCCCUUGUAGAAAUGGUAUGUUCCAAAAGAGAAAAUUAGAACAAUAUUUAUAAUAUUGUACAUAAUCCUAGUUGUGACACAGUGAUGAAAUAUUUUAGCACUGAUUAUAUUUGCUGUUUGCCACUAAUACAAAAUUUUAUCACUUAGUCUAAAUAUAAUCAGAUAUCAUAUGUCUGUGUGUCUGGCAUUUUAAAAUUUAAUACCUCAACAAUAAAUUUCAAAAUCCCAAUGUUAAUGAAGACUUUAUGAUAAAAAGAACUACAGAGAAUUUUCACCCGUAAACAUACAAUCAUUUAUUGUACCACAGGGUCUUCUUAUUCAUUUUGUUCUCAAUCUAUAUAUAAUUUAUAUAUAGCAUAUAAAUUGAGAACAAAAUGGAUAAGAAUCCCCUGUGAUUGUGUGUACAGUGUUGAAAAAAUUUCAUAAGCACCAAACAAACAACAAAACUAUUUGUCAUAUUGUAAAUUGAAGUGUUAUAACCGAGAAACUAAAAUCAUUUUAAACCAAAACAUACCAGUUUCAAAGUCUAAAGUUUUUGUGACUUUCUAAAGCAUUAAUUUUUUUAAAAUUUAGACGAACCUAAUUCUGCCCAUAUAUAUAUUUUUGCACCUUGUUUUCACUGCAAAUUACUCUCCCCGGAUUCCCCUAACCUUGUACCGUUAACCAAGAAUUGGUUUUCCUCCAUCUGUGUAAAACAAGUGCAUGUGUGACGGAAGUAGGUAAAAAUAAAUGCGCGACUCCCAUUCUUGCAAAUACUUUCAAAUAGUUAGCGAGACAAUGCUGCAGGAGCGACAUUUCAGUAAAAACUUAGUAAGUUUAACAGAAGAAAUAUAUAUCGUUUGUCCUGUACCAUUUUCUGUGCCACCAAUCAAUCGUUUACGAUUUAUGAUAUAAGUUUUCAUCUGCUUUCGAUCGCACCCUACCUGUUUAUUUAAGAAAGAAGUAUAAUAAUUACCCGUUAGGCUUAUACAGUUGUGUAUUGAGUUACCUCUACGCAUGACUUUAGGAGUGUAAAGCGUAUUUACAUUCGCGAAUGCGUAAUUGUACGCCUGAUUUUAAACUUUAAUGCGUAUUUGGUAAAAUUUAAUGAGUAUUUACGCUGAUACCAGGGGUCGAAAUUAGCGAGAAAUACUCGCAAAAUGCGAGUACAUGUGAAAAAUAGCGAGGUAUAAUAAUGGACACUCGAAAAUCUUAGCGAGUGGUGAUUUACAAACUAUGAUCGUAUCGUAUCCGUUUUAUACGGUGAUGCGCUAUUCGCUUUUCUCAAACUUGCACUCUGAAUCAUACAAACGCUUACAUGAACGACCGAUUUCAAUAACCGUUUUUAUCUGGAUUUUUCUUUUAUGAUUUUUUAAGAAACUCGGAGUCAAACAAAUGCUUUAGAGAUUGGACAUCGCAUAUCGACAUGUGCCACGAGUCCUGUUCACCUAUAGGGGUGAUUAAAUUGAAUAAUUCCAAGUAUGACGUUUUUGUUAUUCAUUUAUCUACAAAAAAAUAUCGGAAUCUAUGUUUUACCAAGUCUUCCGGUAGUUAUUUUUAUCAGAAUCAUGAGAAUGUCAUUGUCAUAUUGAGGUCGGGUUGUAGUGACGACACGGGUGUAUUUCUCACCGCGUAGACGAUUAUCAAAAAAGUCAUAGGACUCGUGAUCGUGCUGCUUAUAAAGCCAUGAGUCCUGUAUUCGCUUUAAAAAAUCACUAGUGACAACCCUGAUGUGGCAUGAAAUUGGAAGACUGGAUCUAGACCUGCGGUAAACAAGUCGUGGAUUAGACUGUUAGAGGUGCGAUAAUCAAGAGACCUAGACAUUGCACCAUAUGACUUACGUAACUUAGUGUCUUGUCCAAACGCUGCCUGUUGACCCACUAGGCUCAGUAAUGAUGGGGAAAAUCACUGAUUGAAAAAAUAUAUAUAUAAAAAGAGCACUGCUUCAUUAUUUUCAUUUUAGCUUGUAGGUUUUCAUUUUAGCCUGUGGAUUUUUUACCCACAGGCUAAAAUUAGCCUGUGGUAGAAAAAGUUAAUUUCGACCCCUGUGAUACGCACCUUAUCUGGAGCUCUGUCAGACUGAGUACAACUUGUUUCUUUCUCUUCAAGAGGCGUUUGUGCAUGUGUACUUGUUUGUGUGUGUGUGUGUAAUAAUCGGGAUAUUAUUAGGUUCACUUCCAGUAUUAGGUUCUUGCUAGAUUAAAAUAUCUUUAAGGCACCCAGAAUGCAUAUCAGCAAUUAUAAUUACAAUCACAUAAGGGUCGGGCUGAUGAGUUUUAUAUUCAUUCAUUUUGUGACUAAAGUUACAGUUGAUUGUAAUCUUAUUGAAUAUUGUAUGAAAAGGUGAAGAUAGCAAACAGUGAUUAAUGAUCAAUAAUCUCAUGUCACUCCUAAAAGGAAAUAUAAUGAUGUAAUGAUUUUAUUUCACAGUAAUGUUUUGUGUGGAUUGUGGAGAGAGGUUGCUUCCCACAAAUAAAUUUUGUGGAAACUGUGGAGCUGCUGUCUGCAAAAGAAAUGAUGUCAAGGAUAAACCUAGCUCCACAGGCAUGCUGAGUCCUUGGGCCAAGGGCAAG